AGGGCGUUAGUCCAAAAAAAGACCUCUGAUUUCGGCUCAGAAGAUCGUGGUGUAAGUCCACGACCCCCUU
rnacentral:tRNA from 3 species